AGGUUGUUCUCUUAUAUUCAUAAAUAUACCCCUCUUACAUGGUUGUUUUUCUUAUAUUCAUAAUUAUACCCAUCAUACAGGGUUGAUUUCUCAUAUUAAAAAAUAUAUCCCUUUUAUGGGGUUAUCUUCUCAUGCUCUCAAAUAUACCCCUCUUACGUACUUGUUUUCUCAUAUUAACAAAUAUACCCCUCUUAUGGAGUUG
rnacentral:lncRNA from 1 species